CCUACGGGGGGCAGCAGUGAGGAAUAUUGGUCAAUGGGCGAGAGCCUGAACCAGCCAAGUCGCGUGAGGGAGUACUGCCCUAUGGGUUGUAAACCUCUUUUGUCGGGGAGCAAAAGCCGGACGUGUCCGGCUGUGAGAGUACCCGAAGAAAAAGCAUCGGCUAACUCCGUGCCAGCAGCCGCGGUAAUACGGAGGAUGCGAGCGUUAUCCGGAUUUAUUGGGUUUAAAGGGUGCGCAGGCGGGUUUUUAAGUCAGCGGUAAAAUCGUGGGGCUCAACCCCAUCCAGCCGUUGAAACUGGGGAUCUAGAGUGUGCGAGAGGUAUGCGGAAUGCGUGGUGUAGCGGUGAAAUGCAUAGAUAUCACGCAGAACCCCGAUUGCGAAGGCAGCAUACCGGUGCACAACUGACGCUCAGGCACGAAAGCGUGGGUAUCGAACAGGAUUAGAUACCCGAGUAGUC
rnacentral:rRNA from 1 species